rnacentral:rRNA from 1 species
UAAGAUGAGAGUUUGAUCCUGGCUCAGGACGAACGCUGGCGGCAUGCCUAAUACAUGCAAGUCGAACGAGCUUCCGUUGAAUGAUGUGCUUGCACUGAUUUUAACCAUGAAGCGAGUGGCGAACUGGUGAGUAACACGUGGGUAACUUGCCCAGAAGCAGGGGAUAACACUUGGAAACAGGUGCUAAUACCGUAUAACAAC